rfam:Triticum urartu cultivar G1812 contig1230020, whole genome shotgun sequence.
GGGAGAGUCCGAUGUUGGCAUGGCUCAAUCAAAUCGAGUGGGCAGCGAUCGAGGAGUGAUGUGAUUGUUUAACUCGAUCUGAUUGAGCCGUGCCAAUAUCGCAACCUCCUUU